GGGUCUCUCCCGUGCCCGGAUCCCGGCGUUUCCCCGUUCCCCCCGACACCCCUCUAGGUGUCACCCGUGCCCGCGGCUGCCGUGCGAGCGCCGCGACUGCGCUUCCUUCGCUCCUUCCUUCCUUCCCGGAGCGUUCCCGGCUCAUUCCCGGAGCAUCCCCGGCUCCGGGACAGGCUUUCCUUCCCGAGCAUCCUCGGACCGUUCCCGGCUCAUCCCCGGCUCAUUCCCGGCUCUUCCUUCCCGGUUCAUUCCCGGUGCAUUCCCCGUGCCCGGCCCCUUCCCGAGCUCUGCCGGGCACCAAAGGCCCUGCCCGGGCUGGGGGGCACCAAAGAGCCCCUUUUGCUGUGCCCAUCCCAUUCCAUCCCAUUCCUGCCCAAGGAGCUGCGAGGCACCGUGGGUUUCCCCCAUCUACUUUACUUUUUCCUCUUUUGCUCUUUUUUAUUUAGGUUUUUUUUCCUUUUUUCUCUCCCUUUUCUCCUUUUUUCUUCCUUUUUCUUUAUUCCCCUUAUUCCCCCUUUGUCUUUUAUUCCUUUUCUAUUUUUCCUUUAUUCCCCUUAUUUUCCUCUUUUCUUUUUGCCCUCAUCUUUCUUUAUUCCUGUUUCCCCCUCUUUGCUCUUUCCAUUUCCUUUUCUCUUUUUUCUUAUUUUUUCUUUCUUUUUUCUUCUUUUUUUCUUCUCCCUAUUUUUUCCCUUUUCCCUCUAUUUUUCUUCCUACUUUCCCCUCUUUCCUUUCCUUUUUCCCCCUUUUUUCCAUUUUUCCCCUUUUUUCUUCAUUUCAUUCUCACCCUUUUCCUUCACCUUCCUCCUCUCUCUUUUUUUUUUUUUUUUCCACCUCCUCGGGGUGUGAUUUUUUUUUUUUUUUUUAAUUUUUCCAGAGGUACAAACACCCCCAAAAUGCAUCCCAAGGCCUGCAGAUCCCCAUGGAUUCAGCCCCAAACCCAGGGGCUCCUUCCCCUCUGCUCUGACAAUUCCCAACGCUCCUCAGCCCCAUCCAAAAGCACUCCCUAUAUAUUAUAUAUAAAAAAAUAAAUCUAUCCAUAUAAAAGAGGAUUUUUUUUUU
rnacentral:lncRNA from 1 species